rfam:Macrostomum lignano uti_cns_0048785, whole genome shotgun sequence.
GGCAACGGCCAUACCACGUUGAAAAACACCGGUUCUCGUCUGAUCACCGAAGUUAAGCAACGUUGGGUUUGGUUAGUACUUGGAUGGGUGACCGCCUGGGAAUACCAAAUGCUGUUGUCU